GAUGAACGCUGGCGGCGUGCCUAAUACAUGCAAGUCGAGCGAACAGACGAGGAGCUUGCUCCUCUGACGUUAGCGGCGGACGGGUGAGUAACACGUGGAUAACCUACCUAUAAGACUGGGAUAACUUCGGGAAACCGGAGCUAAUACCGGAUAACAUGUUGAACCGCAUGGUUCAAUAGUGAAAGACGGUCUUGCUGUCACUUAUAGAUGGAUCCGCGCCGCAUUAGCUAGUUGGUAAGGUAACGGCUUACCAAGGCAACGAUGCGUAGCCGACCUGAGAGGGUGAUCGGCCACACUGGAACUGAGACACGGUCCAGACUCCUACGGGAGGCAGCAGUAGGGAAUCUUCCGCAAUGGGCGAAAUCUUGACGGAGCAACGCCGCGUGAGUGAAGAAGGUCUUCGGAUCGUAAAACUCUGUUAUUAGGGAAGAACAAAUGUGUAAGUAACUAUGCACGUCUUGACGGUACCUAAUCAGAAAGCCACGGCUAACUACGUG
rnacentral:rRNA from 1 species